UUGCUUCUUCUGCAAGAACUCUUCUUGGUUUU
rnacentral:piRNA from 1 species